UGCUUCUGGGUCGACAAGAAUAAAGGUUUUGGAACGUUUGGUGCCAUCAGAUGCAAAAAGCUCUAAAAAAUGUCACGGAGGAGGCUUAACUUCGUUCGGAUGCUCAACAAAUUGCGACCCAGGGGUUGAAAAUUCGAUGGAACGUUUAAUGCCUGAAAUGAUGCCAUGAAGUCAUCGUAGUUCUGGCUGCGUGCCUUUUCGCUUGGUUGAUUGGUGGUCUCUCAUCUGUUUGAUCGCUUGAAUUACAGUUUUCUUUUUCUUUUUUUUGGCGGUUGAGGAUUACGGUGCUUGUUUUCAAGUGCGGAAACUCCAGAUAUUAGUUUUGCUUAGGUUGGAACAUAACAACGUGAAAGAGCAUGCAUGAAAGAUUCAGAAGUACUUAGAAAGUGAAGCCGCAUGCUGAUGGCACUGAUGUUUGUUGCAAUCAGUGUGCAACCAUCCUAAUCUUUGCUCCGCUUUCUUUUCUUUUUUCCAUAACACAUGUAUGUAGAGAGUCUGACAUUGAUUUUUCGAUUGCCUCAGGGAGGAAACAUUCAAGGCAUUUCCCCAGAGCCUUAAUCCGAGGACGAUAGUACAUAGCUGGCGAGUUUUUAUCAGUAUUCAAGACAUGUUGAUUGCGAGCUAACUCAAAUUUCUUCACUGCAGGCUGGGACCUGGUGUACGCCCAAAGGCUGUGGCAAAGGGCUUUAAAUGCAUUUUCAACGAUCAAAGGGUUUUCUAUCUUGGAUCAUUUGGAUAUGGAGUGGAGCUGCUGCUGCUGCAGGGGAAAUUUAUGUUCUUAAAGCCUUUCCGACGCUAUGUUUCAUCUUGAGGGUUUCCUCGCACUUCUGCCGAAAGUAGAUUCAUUACCUCAGAGACAGCGUGGAGGAGAUAUGGGUUUUAAUUUCGUUUUUGCUCCCUCAACUUUGCCAUAAAACUGUACGUUUGUCCCCGAACUUCAUUUUCUGACAUUCUUACAUUUUAAUUCAAAAUAUCACUGUUAUGUUAUUUUGAGGGUGUGAAUUCAUGAAGUACAUUACGGUUGAGGCGUUUGAUCGUCCCUGUAAAUUCACUUGAUUUUGGACUUGAGUUCAAUGGAAGGGAAUACAUUAGCAAGAAAGAAUAGAGUUAUUAUUAUUUUCUGAAGUCAUCUUAUCAUGUUAGAUUAGUCACAUAAAAAAAAACUAUGAGACAUGAUAUUAGAUCUCAGAGAAAGUACUGAUCGUGAUAUAUAUUGUAUAUUGUGAUAGGCUUAUUUAUGUCAUUGUUAAGAUUAGUUGUAUAAAUAAUGUUGUCAAAUUCAAAGAAAAAGAGAUUGAUGACACUGUUUUUUAACUUUUCCUUAUAAUUCAUUAUGAUCUUCGAAUACUGUUUAUUCAAUUUAACAUAUCAACAUUUAGGAAUUUGUCUGCAUUUGAAAUCUGAGAUCGUACACCUCAAUCACUAGUGAGAGAGAGAGAGAGAGAGCCGAUUUCUUAGCUCUUCUUGGCUCUUUCGAGGAGUCCCUUGGAUUCUCCUACCAUCCACGUUCAUCACGGAGGCUUGCCUACCCCAAAAACCAUAGACGGGUUU